GUGAAAGAGAGAGAGACAGAGAGAGAGAGGGGGAAAAAGAAAGAGAGAGAAAAGCACCCAGCAGCCCUCUAUCUCUCUCUUUUGUUUUCUCACCUCCUCCCCUCCUCCAACAAGUUUUCUUUCUUUCUCUCUCUCUCUCUCUCUCUCUCUCUCUGCUUUAGACCGGGUUUUUUUUUCUC
rnacentral:sRNA from 1 species